CCUACGGGAGGCUGCAGUGGGGAAUAUUGGACAAUGGGCGAAAGCCUGAUCCAGCCAUGCCGCGUGUGUGAAGAAGGCCUUCGGGUUGUAAAGCACUUUCAGUGGGGAAGAAAGCCUUGGGGCUAAUACCCUCGAGGAAGGACAUCACCCACAGAAGAAGCUCCGGCUAACUCCGUGCCAGCAGCCGCGGUAAUACGGAGGGUGCGAGCGUUAAUCGGAAUUACUGGGCGUAAAGCGCGCGUAGGCGGUCUGAUAAGCCGGUUGUGAAAGCCCCGGGCUCAACCUGGGAACGGCAUCCGGAACUGUCAGGCUAGAGUGCAGGAGAGGAAGGUAGAAUUCCCGGUGUAGCGGUGAAAUGCGUAGAGAUCGGGAGGAAUACCAGUGGCGAAGGCGGCCUUCUGGACUGACACUGACGCUGAGGUGCGAAAGCGUGGGUAGCAAACAGGAUUAGAUACCCGGGUAGUC
rnacentral:rRNA from 1 species